GAUUCAUAUAGGUAGUGCUAACCAUUUAAGAUUAACCCUUAUUUAAGAUUAACACUUAUUAUGUAGAUGAUGUUAUUAAUAAUUUAAAUGUUAUUUUAAAAAAUUAUUAAUUUAAUUUUAAAUUGAUUGACUGGAUCCAAAUUCAUCAAUUUUGAAUUGAAUCAUAUUAAUCUUCAAAUUUGAUCCUCAAUUUUAGUAGCUUAUCUGAUAAUCU
rnacentral:misc_RNA from 1 species